CAGGAAAAGCAGAAGCUCCAAGUUCGGCCCUUUGUGGGCCAAGGGAUCCUCCGCCUGGCGUCCCUGGGUGUUUUAGCUGUUUGAGCCUCUCCCCUCAGGCACUGAGAUGACUGCAAGAAGGGUGGUGGAGAAGAACUCUUCAGGCGGAGUGAGAGGUGAGUCUCCAGAGACUUCCACCAUCCCAACUCUUUGGAAUAUCUGGAUGGCAGCUGUCCAGUUAAACGAUUGCAAGAAGUGUUGCUGACUUCAGUAGCUGUUACUUCUCUCUCAGAGCUACCAGGGGGUCAUCUGUUUUUUAGAAUUCUGCAAUAGAACAUUCUAGCACUUAAUGAUCACUUUUUACUCUCUGUCUUUAGUGAUUGAUUUGUUCAUACAAAAACUUGUGUUCACAUUUGAAACUGCAAUUAAUAUUACCACUGAACACAGAGGUUAGAUUUCCUUAUGUGCAAAUUGUCAGUGCAGAUGCAAGCUGAGAGUUCAUAUAAUGGAUGACUUUUGCAUUGAAUUUCACUUCUUGUAUACUUGGGAGUUUUGGCCACAAGAAUGCUGGAGAAUAUAAAAUUCCUCUUGUACUUUCAUCUGUGAAAAAAAUGGGAUCCUGACAUUUUCCACUGGUUUGCUUUUUGUUUCUCUUCCCAUCCACUUGCCCUCAUACACUUGCAUGUGACAUUUUGGCAAAUGCAGGUGUGUAACUCAUGCAGAUUCUUUCAUCUGAUUGAAAAGGGUUUCUGCCUUUGGAAAUUUUGGCCCUAUCUAUUAAUGGGCACUUUUGACAACUCUCUGUAAGUUUUUGUUCUUCCAGUAGCCACUUGGUUGGCCAAAGCGACACUGUGUUGAAACUACGUUGGCCAACAAAACUCCUGCAGUUUCAGCUGGCAGAGUUAUUUUCCAAUUCCUUGCCUUGAUUGUUGGGACACUUAGCUAAAUUUAGACAACUUUUUUUUUUUUUGUUUCAGCCAAAAGAUGGGAACAUUUUGUUGUGACACUAAAAUGUGUCCUCUUUACGUACUGUUUAUUUUACAUUUGAGGAGUUUUUGAGGCAGGUUGUCCUAUAUCACUUCGUAGGCUUAAUAAGGAAGCUGUCAGCUUUUAUUUAACUGGACAUUAUUAAAUUAAUAGAUACAAGUACUUCAGUCCAAACAUAUUUAUACAUAUUUUCCAACAACAUGCUUUGCCACAUCAGUUCAGAAUCUGCAAAUGCACCACAGUUCAGUUACACCUAAAGUGAUCUAAUGAAUAGCUUGUUAGUCUUCAGCACAAGUCAAUAAAAGAAAACAACUGGAAUAUAA